rnacentral:sRNA from 1 species
CAUACACACCUAUCAAAAA